AUUGGGCGUAAGAGCUCGUAGGCGGUUUGUCGCGUCUGCUGUGAAAUCCCGAGGCUCAACCUCGGGCCUGCAGUGGGUACGGGCAGACUAGAGUGCGGUAGGGGAGAUUGGAAUUCCUGGUGUAGCGGUGGAAUGCGCAGAUAUCAGGAGGAACACCGAUGGCGAAGGCAGAUCUCUGGGCCGUAACUGACGCUGAGGAGCGAAAGGGUGGGGAGCAAACAGGCUUAGAUACCCUGGUAGUCCACCCCGUAAACGUUGGGAACUAGUUGUGGGGACCAUUCCACGGUUUCCGUGACGCAGCUAACGCAUUAAGUUCCCCGCCUGGGGAGUACGGCCGCAAGGCUAAAACUCAAAGGAAUUGACGGGGACCCGCACAAGCGGCGGAGCAUGCGGAUUAAUUCGAUGCAACGCGAAGAACCUUACCAAGGCUUGACAUAUACGAGAACGGGCCAGAAAUGGUCAACUCUUUGGACACUCGUAAACAGGUGGUGCAUGGUUGUCGUCAGCUCGUGUCGUGAGAUGUUGGGUUAAGUCCCGCAACGAGCGCAACCCUCGUUCUAUGUUGCCAGCACGUAAUGGUGGGAACUCAUGGGAUACUGCCGGGGUCAACUCGGAGGAAGGUGGGGAUGACGUCAAAUCAUCAUGCCCCUUAUGUCUUGGGCUUCACGCAUGCUACAAUGGCCGGUACAAAGGGCUGCAAUACCGUGAGGUGGAGCGAAUCCCAAAAAGCCGGUCCCAGUUCGGAUUGAGGUCUGCAACUCGACCUCAUGAAGUCGGAGUCGCUAGUAAUCGCAGAUCAGCAACGCUGCGGUGAAUACGUUCCCGGGUCUUGUACACACCGCCCGUCAAGUCAUGAAAGUCGGUAACACCUGAAGCCGGUGGCCCAACCCUUGUGGAGGGAGCCGUCGAAGUGGGAUCGGUAAUUAGGACGAAGUCGUACAGAG
rnacentral:rRNA from 2 species